rnacentral:lncRNA from 1 species
UGUUCAGCCAUUGGUGCAGCUUGUUGGUAAAAUUCGGUUGCUUCAGAUGAAGCUUCUGCGGCUUGCUUUCUAAGUCUUCUGAGAGUGAGUUCAAUUUCUGGAUCAAAGGGCAGUGUGUCCCUACUUUCAGAUCUAGUCAUGAAAAAAACAAACAAAUAAGUGAAAUCAAUUCCCCGGCAACGGCGCCAAUUUUUGACUCGCGGUUGUCGAAGCUGGUAAAAAAUAACCUUUUUGGUUAUCAACAAUUUUACAACUGCAGAUAGUGGUGAAAGGAUCAAAUCCACAGAGAAUUGAUUACCUAUUUAUUUUUUCUCAACAAGACCAAUAAAAUAAACUGAAACAAUAAUAAAUUAAAGAUGAGAUAAAAGAUUGAACGUGGGAUCAAAUGAGAUAAACUGAAAACAGAAUAAAAAUAAAUUGCAAUAAAAGUAAAAUGGGGGGUUUGAGAUUGAUUGUAGUAACUAAUAAUGAGAGUAAUAAUAGAAAGCAAAUAAUUAAAAUAAAAGAGUAAAUCAAUAUGAGAAAAGCCUAGUUGAAGAUAUGGAUCCACUUUGGUUGUUUGGGUUGAUCAUUGAAACUUAAAUUAUCUUGAUUGGUUCAAUAGAUUAGUUAUGGGGGUGGAAGACGCUUCUCACCACCAUGUCUCUCCUUAUGAUUAAAUUAAUUAGGGAACGUCCUCUAAUUAAUUACUAAUUAACAAAUUGCCAAGGAACGUCCUUGGGUCAUAGGCAUCAAAACAAUUGUCAAUUGCAUAAAGAAAUAGAGAGAUCCAAUCCUAGCUACCCAAACGUAUGGCGAUAACGCUAAAUCAUGUAAUUCCUUGGUUUUUACGCCAAGUGUUCUAAGGUCAGAAUAUUUCCAGCAAUUACGGACUAAAAAUAAUCCCAACUAACAAUUAAUUAACUUUGCAAUUAAAAUCAAGUGGCCAAUUUGAUCAAAACAACAAAGUAAUCAUGUAAUUAAACCAUCAAUUGCAUAAAUAUUGAACAAAAUCAAAGACAAUAAUUUAUGUUCAGAUCUCACAACCCAUUAAACAACCUUAGUUUCAACCAAUCCUCAACUAGAAUUAAAGAAAUCAGCCACUCAUUGGCUGAAUUAAAAAUAGAAAAUUAAAAGGAAAAGAAAAGAACCAAAAAUUGAGAGGAAUCUGCC